rnacentral:lncRNA from 1 species
UUGAGAUGGCGCAAAUUAAUUAGAUUACUCAUGUCUGCAGGCAAUGACUUCAAACCGUAACAGCAUUCCAAUAUCAAUGUCUGCAAGUUGUAAAGAGUACUUAUCGAUUUAGGCAAACUACUUAUAGCUGUGUAGGAAAGGUCAAGAUACCAUAGAUAUGUCAAAUCACCAAUUGAGUUUGGCAGCUCAGUUAUUCUAUAGCCAUUAAAAGAAAGCACCCGCAAGUACUGCAAUUUUGGCAAUAAAUCAGAAGUAACCUGAUGGCUUAAAUAAUUGUAGGCAGAACCCUUUCUGAGUGGCAAGAAGGUUCGCAUACAUUUCACUUCAGAAAAUGCCUCAAAUCUUUUAACCCCAUCAUAACGACCGAUAAUGUAAGACGAAUGGCGAGCCUUCGGAAAACAUCUAAGUUGUACACCAUCAUCAUUUUGCUUAUCCUCCAAUCUAAAACAAAUAUCUCCAGCUGCCCAUCGUGCUAAAUCACCAAUGAGGGUCAUGCAUCACAUAUUUUUGAAGUAUUAUUGGUUGACUUUUGAAACAAUGACCUAGAUACGAGCUCCCGAAAAUAAUCAGCACCUAAAUCUUCAAUUUGCUUAUUAUCUUCUGGUUGAGGAUGAAUCAAACCCUCGGCCAUCCACAGAAGGAUCAUUUGCAUCUCCCCGAAUUCAUAGUCAUUUGGAAUUAUUGAGCAAUAGGCAAAGCAUCUUUUCAAAUGUGAAGGAAGAUAAAAGUAACUUAGUCUCAACACAGGAAGUAUGUCAUGCUCAUUUGAGAGACUCCACAACUUGUUGUUCAAUAGUUCUUCCCAUUCGUCUAUUUCUCUACGAAGUAGAACACCACCAAGGGUCCUCGCGGCCAAAGGCAAUCCCCUACACUUUGCAACAAUUUUCUCCUUAAGUAACUCGUAAUUUGAUGGCUUGUCGUUAGAAUUUAAGAAUGCAUGCUGCUCAAAUACUUGUAAACAAAAAUGAUUUUCCAUAGGCACCAAAUUGUGAACCAGCGUGGCAGCUCCCAUCAUUUUUGAAACAUCUGUAUCACGUGUUGUCACAACUAUCUUGCUUCCUUGUGCUCCAUCAUGAAAAGUGGACUGCAGCUUCUUCCAUUCACCGUAGCUACACGUUUUCCAAACAUCGUCUAAAACAAUUAAAAACUUCUUCCCCGCUAACUUCUUAUGCAGAUCAUUUUGAACCUUAUUGUAAUCUUCUGUGGUACAUUGCCGAGAUGUGAUUGAUUCAAGAAUUUGCUUUGUCACUCUUUCAAGGUUGAAGUCGUCAGAUACGCACACCCAAACGGCUGGUUGAAACAUUUGGGUUGCAACCAUAUCUUUAAGUACUUGUCCAGCAAGUGUUGUCUUUCCGACUCCAGCCAUACCGACAAUUGCAACUACCUCGAAAUUGACAGCCCGAUGCUCUUGUUUCGACAGCAGCUCAACAAUCUUCCCUUUGUCCUCAUCCCUUCCAAUCACAGGUCCAUCUGGUAGACUAGUACUCGGCGAUAUGUGUUGGCGUGCCUUUGUAGUCAAUGUCCUAGUAUCAAUUUUCAAACUAAGCUGGUCUUUUCUUUCAGAUAUCUCUUGUAAUCGCUCGGAAAUCUUCUGUAUUUCCGAGUUCAUUUUGAAGUUGAAAACACGAUUAGGAAUUGAUUUCCAUGCUUUGCUUCUUGUGCUGGAAUGAGCAUGUUGUAUCUGACGUUUCAACAUUUUAGUAUGAUAUUUAUCCAACACGUCUUCCGCAUCAAAAGCCAAGUCCUUGAGAUCAUCGAGCCAGAGCUUCAGUGCGUUGCUCUCAGCCAUCAGUUGCCUUUCCUCCGCGUCAUUCAGAACCGCUCCAAUUGCAGACAAGGUGGCACUCCAUUUCUUCAGGUUUUGAUCGACGCCCUUUACGAGUCCAAAGUACUUCAAGACCUCACGUUGCGCCAACUUGUCAACCAGCACUUGGAGGAAUGCCACAAGAAAAACCUCUCCCGGCAUAGUUUCUUGAAUUGGAAGUUUGAUCCGUUGAGCAAUACCAAUCAAGACUCACAAGUAGUCACAGCUGCACAAUUAAAACAAAUGAAACUAAUUAUUGUAUACAAAUUUACAAUUCCAUAACCGUCCAACCGGCUAUACAGGGGCUCAAUCGGGUAUGUUAAAAAUGAAACACUUUUUACAUGUUAAAAUACUAAAGUAGGACUCUACAAGUUACACAACUCGAAACUCACAUGGAUAUAGGAGCAGAUGUAUAGCAAGAACUUACAUGGAAGUCGUCAGAUCAUGAGGAGAGGACACUUGCUUCUGAGGAUCAGGUUUCAGUUGAAGUUGAAAACGUUAGUGCAAUUAACAAAGUGUUGAACAUGAAACCAUAUAUAUAUUAGUUGCAAUUAAGAUGAAGAAAAUGAAAUAAAUAACGAAUAAACAAUGGAUUUCCCAUAUAUAAAGAUAUAGUUGGAAGAAGAACUUACUGCAUCAAUUGAAGUUUUCAGAUGAUCAUGAAGAUGAAGGGACUUAGGGCUGGUUUGGUAUUGCUGUGCUUUAAAAAAAAAGCUGCUUCUGCUUUCCUGUAAUUUCCCAAAAAAAAAAGAUGAAAAUUUAUAACAAUCAUCCAGUUAACUAGGAAGUGGGUAACUUCCAAAUCAAAAAUAGAAGAAAACCCAGAUGCCAUUGCCUAUUUUUAUCCAAAAGGAAAAUUCACAACAAUUAUCAAGUCCAACUAGCAACUGGGUUAUCUUCCAAAUCAAAAUUAAACAACACCCAGAUGUUAAAAAUUGCUUCUUUCUAUCCAAAUUAAAGAGCAAGUCAAAUGCAUUAGCCUCUAAGCAAAGUGGCAGAUCUCAAAUGGUAACAUCACACCAAUUGUCCUAAGAAAAAUUAAUCUAAACAUUUCCUAAAAGGAAGAAUAGAAACAGAGAGCCUGUGAGACCCUCUUCAAUUCCAAAUACUCGUUCAACAUAAUCCAAAAAAAGGUAGUGUGUUUAAGAAACAAACAAACAGAGUACAUAAACAAAAAUUAAAAAUAAAAAAGGGCAGAAAAAGAAGAGGUGUACAUAAACAAACAAAAGAAGAGGAGUACAUAAACAAACAGUGUGUGUUUAAGAAACAAACCAACAUCAUCACUGCACCAACUCAGGAAAACAUACAUAAGGAUUCGACGUAACUGUGGAGUGCCGGCUGUCGACUACCUGAAGCCCUCCCCCUCCUCCUUUACCCGGGCUUGGGACCGGCAAUGUAAGAUAAACUUACAUAGGCGGAGUUACUCAGGAAAACAUAAUCUAAAUAAUUAAACUACUUAGAUUUAUUAGAAUCAGACAACACUGUUCCAAUUUAACUUCUCUUUGGUUAAAGUGAGGACCUUUAUGCUGGAGAUCUACAAUUCCAUUUUCAUUUAUCAAAUUUUGAUCAAAUAACGCAAACAGUUUGCAUCUCAGUUAAUUAAGAGUAUGUAUCCAUUGAAUCCCCUCUUCCCCACUAUUGCUUGUGCCAAAGAAAAAAUAGCACCAAUGACGGCAGCCUCGGUUAUAAAACAUAAGUACAACAGCGUUGUCACACGAAACUAUUGUUUGUAGUUGUAACUGGAAAACAACGACAUGGUUAUCGACAUGUAGAAAAUUUGCUUAACGUAGAAGUAAAGGAUUCGAUGGUUCAGAUUUCGGAUUUCUGGAUCUUCUGACUGAAGAAUAUUAUACAUUGGUGUUACAUCUAAUUUUAGAGCAACAUAAUCCUAAAUAUAUAAUCCAGACAUAUAUUAAGAGCAACACUAUCGUUGCCAAUCAAACCCAAAGAGCUGAAAUUGCUUCAUGGAUCUCAUGAUAAUAAUUAGAACCUUAUUUCAAUAAUUAGGACCUUAAUUCAAACCCCAAAACUAAAAUUUAGAGAAUUAAUUCAAACCCCAAAACUGAAAAUUAGAACAUUAAUUCAAACACCAAAACUGAAAUUGCUUCAACGAUGGGGGAGAGAGAGAGAGAGAGAGAGAGAGAGUUAUGUUUACCUAAUCGAUGAGAUCGAGCCUGUGUUCGCCUUCACUGGUUCGUUGGUUGCCAAAUAAACCCUGUUUCAGAAAACCCCAAAAAAAUCGAUUCAUCAUCCAUGUUAGCUGCUAGAACCAAACCUUGAAUUAAAAUUAAACUACAAAAAUAGAAGCAAACUGAGAGAGCAGCCAAACCCGAACCUACCUAAAUUAAAUUAAUUAAUUACAGCAAAUAUAUUCAAGCAAAUCGAGUAUGCUCGGUCUGUACCUGGUACCUGGUACCUGGAAGGCGACGACGGUGUGGCGCUGAGACUGACGGAGAGAGAGGAAAAGGAGGAGGAGGAGGAGGAAGAGGUGCAGCUGCAGAAGGGAAGACGGCGUGCAGUGUUUUGCGAGAGAGAGGAGAAAAGAGGGCAAGGUUGGAGAAAAGGAGAGGAGAAAUGAGAGCAAGGUUGGCAAUUGAAAAUUUCAUUAAAACGUCACUGUAGCUCCGUGUUUUCAAUUUGUAAGCUGUUUUCUGAAGCUUCUUUUUGCAGCUUCCAUUUUUGACUUUUUUUCAUGUGAAACUUUGAAAUAAAAUUAUUUUAAGAUGUUUAUCAAACACUAAAAUCCCUAGCUUUUUUUUCAUUCCAGUUUUUUUUUUUUUAAUCAUCUCAAUCCCAAACCGGAGCUUAUUUCCAUCGAACUCAUCUGAUCGCUUAUGAAAGUCAACGAAUCCAGAUUCCAGACCACAAGAUACCUUAGAGCUCUGCAAUAAUUCAAUUUGCUAUGCUAAUUCCCUUGACCAUCGUUUAGUCACAAGGGCUGCAACUAAUCUCACGCUUUACUUACCAUAUCCUGAAUAGAUGUUUAAGGAAUGAAAAUUGAGCAGGGUUUUCAUGAAGGAGUGAAAUAUCAUAAAUUGUGGGUUAUCUUGGGAUAAGGUUUUUCUCUUCAAACUAUUGUGUUUUGGGUCUAAGUUCUUCUUCGUUUCUAUAAUUUAGAUGAAUUUUGGGUAGAUUACUUUUCAUUUGUCAUUUUGGUCUGGUGGAACCUCGGUGGUACAAGAAAAUUUUAUUAAAAUGAAAAAAAAAAGUUACACCUAAUGAAAGAAUGACAUAAAAUUUACUCAUCUUCAUAACGAAAAAACACAAAAAAAAAAAAAUGACAUAUGACCAAACGCCUCUAAAACAAAACUUAGAAGAUAGGAAGCUACAAAACAAACAAAUUUUUUAAAAGAAUUAGGUUUGCAAUUGUGUCGGUAUUCCACCAACCCACGACAAUCCACGAACAAGAAAAGUUAGAAACUAGGUGGGCACUGGGCCGGGACGAAAUUUGGAGAGACUUGAUUUAAAAAGGAAACAAGAAAGGCCAGGUACACGGAUUUUUUUUUUUUUUGGGAAUUACCGUAACGAAGUAAAUCACAUCGGUUCAUAUGAAAACUGCAUUUAGUUCAUGAGCUGCAAUGCUCUACAAAAUUUUGUACGUUAACAAGCACUAAACUUUUCAAUGACAACCAACUUCCCCAAUAAAUUAAAUCCAGAGCUUACUAGUUCUCUACAAAUUAUAACCAAACAUAGCAUUAUAUUAACAUCCUUAAUAUCAAAUAAACUUCAAAUAACCAAAAAGACAACUAAUUUCAAGCAAAAUAAAAACAACCCAGAAAAUAACAAACAAUCAAAACCCAGAAACAAAACACCUAAAAAAAGAACAAAGUUUCAAUUUUUCAGAGAGGAAAAAGAAAGAGAAUUGAAAUGGAGAGGCUCCCAAUAGUUGAAGACCUCGUCGCAGUCGUGUAUGAUGUUUGAUGUGGCGCUCAUGUACCUCAGCAUUCUCAGAGCCACCAGCGGAAAGAACCACCCAAACCCUUUGUAGACGGCGAAUGCGAACAGGUACGGCGAGAUUGGCUGCUCCAUCGGGAACUCAUCGACGACCCUGUCGUCGGCGCACCACAAAGCGUCGCCAGCGAUCGAGGCCUGAUGAUGAUGGCAACGGACGGAGCGAGGAAGACAGGAGCGAAUCAGGAGAGAUCGAGGUCUGACGAUGAUGGUGGCGGCGAGAGAGGAAAGGAGAUUCAAGGAGGAGAGAUCGAGGGAGGAGAGAUAGAGAGGGGAGAGUUGAGUGAAUUGGGUGAGAAUGGAAUGGAGUCUUGGGAGUCCCGGACAAGAAUAAGAGGGAGAGAGUGAAAUCAACGGUUAUUUUUCUUUACCCGCCCCGCCUCGUCCCGCUUUGUAUUGAUAAGUUUUGGACCCAUUCCGAAUCUUAAUUACCAGUCCCGACCUGAGUUUUCUAUAUCCGUUUGCCCACCCCUCUUGUAUUCUUACCACGAGAAUCACUUAUCUAAUUCGCCAUUGAGUCAAUAUUUUAAAUAAAUAACACAAUAACACGUGAAGAUAAACUUAAUAUAUAUAUAUAUAUUAGAAAAACUUUGUUUUGAAUGAUUCAUUCAUUUGUCUUGUUGAAAGUAUAAAGGUCAUAAAAAAUAGGGAUAAUAAUUAUAGCCGUUAAAAUCGAUAACAGUGGAUAACCACCCGAAUAGAUUGGAUUUGGAUGUGAUCGGGUAUAUUUUGGAUAUGGGGAAAAACCGUGAGUAAUAUUCGGUUUUGGUUUUGGAUACGGUUAUAGAGGUCCCCAAUUCAUAUAUGUCCCCGAAUCUUAAUCGAAUUAUAUAUAAUAUAAUUGUAUGAUAAUAUAUAUAUAUAUAUAUAUAUAUAUAUAUAUAUAUAUAUAUAUAUAUUUAUUCACUAAAUCUAUUACCUUGAUAAUACAAAAGCUGCACUGUGUGAGUUGCAUUUUGUGGGUAAGUUAAAAAGUUUUGAUAUUAAUCAAAAUCUAUGAGAAUCCAGACCAAUAGUACUUAUAGGAGAUAUCAAAGAUUAGCCAACAUUAUAAAUGUCUAGCUUUAAUUUUUAUGCUCCACAAGAUCCAUUCAUUAAAUCAUUUUAUACAUCAAAUAUUUAAUGACGAAAUUAAUAUUUACUAAAUUAUUAUGCAUCAAUUAAACGAAUAAAAUUUUUGUAUUGAUGAAUGAGUAUAACCGUUAACCGAUGGGGAAUCUGUUACUCGAUGGGUAUGGUUAUGGAUAAUACCUGAUGAUUAAUUGGCGAUUAUGGAUAUGAUUAAUUUUUGUGAUUAUGGGGAUAAAUAUAGUAUUUCCGUCCCAAACCGAACCAUUGACAUCCCUAAUAAAGAAUUUCCAUAAAACAAGUACACCAUUGAUGAGGUAUCACAUUGCUCGAAUAAUACAAGGGCAAUUAGUCACAAACUCAUAGUGGACAACUUUUGACAAAUUGUGGCACUUUUGAUUUCCCUUUUUAAAACUGCUGUGUAAUCAAUUUUAUACGCGAAGGUUCAUGCCCUUCAUAUAUUAAUCAGAAAUAGGAGGCAAAAAUGCAGGAACUACUUAACAAAACACAAAGGACAAGAAAACAAACUUGAUCAUUUUGGCAGACCAGGAAAACGCAUGGCAACUGUUAUUAUGUUUUGAAUGACUUUCAUGUGUACCGUCUAAAAUGUAACGGACGCGAAGAAUUUCAUAGAGCGAGUACAUUGUCGUUCUGAUAUGACAUUGCUUGAAUAAUAUAAGAAUAAUUAAUCACAAUAGCACGUUUUGACAAAUCAUUACACUUUUGAUCACACAUUUUAAAAAUUGCUAUGUUAAGUGAAUAUUGUAAUAUGAGCUUACUCAAUUGACAAUUUUUGAACUUUGAGCUUACCCAAUUGGAAAUUUGUAAACUUUGAGCUUACCCAAUUGGUGAUUUGUAUCAGAAAGUUUUCAGACUAUGCAUCAGGGCUAUGAUAUACGCUGUUUUUUUUAAGAAAGCAUCCUCUUGGACAUCUUCCAUCUGAUACGAGGUCCUAUACUAGUUGGUGUAGCAAAUUUGUGGUGGGGAUUGAAACUAUCAUUCUGCUGAUGUCUCGCUCAACUUUUGUGUUUAAACACCCUGUUACAUCGAAUUAUUCACGAAUUGUGUGUGUGUGUGUGUUUUUUUUUUUACAAACCAUAGGAUAAUUUAUACUAAAUUCAACUUGGGUGCAAAACACACCGCUCUAGUCAACUUAACUUAAAUCAAGUAUGCGGCUUUAUAGGUGCAAAUUUUGUGUUCUAACCUAAUGUGGACUUCUCUAUACUAGUUCGUGUAGCAUAUUUAUAUAUGCUUUCAAGAGUUGCAAACUUUUAUUUUUGGAAAACAAGUAUAUGAUUCGAUGUUCAAUCUUUUGGUGUAUGAUCGUGAAUAAGCAAAUUGACCAAAAGAGGAAGAAUAAAGGCAAUAAAGAUUGCUCUAUAUAUACACAAUCUUACAACACCCCCAUACCAAAAUACAUACAUUUCUAGCAUUCACUUAUCAUCCUUGAGGAGAAUGAGGUUAAAAGUUAAAACUAAAACCAGUGCAUACCAAAGUGGCUGCGCCAAAGAAGCAAGAAAGCAGCAGGAGGUGAUGACCAAAUUACUCAAUAGCUCAGGAAAUUGGCCUUCUGCCAAUGGAACUUGUUACUCUUCUCAACUACAAUCAGUCGGGAAAUUAUUUGAGACAAUUACAUUUCAGCUUGAAAGGGUGUCGCCUGCUCAAGAAACUGUUCACAAAUAGACUUCGAAAAUCUGCAACGAGAAACGAAAACCAAUUAUUACAAGUAUUUUGGUUUUGAUAGGCAGUAACUCAAGGCAUUUUACAUUUUGCAGAAGGAAAAUUGCUCCUUUAACAACCAAACUGCCAGCACAAAUGUAGUUUAGAGCACGGAAAGGAAAAUGGAGAAUAAAGGUAAACAUUACCUCUUCUUGACCAGAAGCACUUAUUACUGAAGAAUAUACUGAAUAGAGUUUAUCGCAUUCUGCUGUUGUUUAAUUGAUGGUUUCGGGGCAAGAGGACUGCAAAUGAGCAUAUUGGAACUUAGUCCAGCAGUAUCUUAAAAUUGACUAGUCGAAAAUGCCAAAGCAAUAGCUACUAAGACCAUGGCUUUAAACCAUAAAAGUACCUUCAGAGAUGCAGCAAAAGCUUUCUGGGGGGAAGAUCGUCGCUGGGUCUGCUCUAUUCUGGCAAGAAACGGCAAAAGCCAGGCAGUUUUUACUGUACAAAACAGAACCAAACAAUAGAUUAUUUUGGAGCCCGGCAGAGUUGACAGUUUCAAAGGGUACACGAUCUAUGCCUUUUGCUAAAAUACAUAUCACCGAGAUGACUGUGAUGCUCUAUAUAUAUAACAAUUGAAAUAUAUAUACCUUGACCAUGAAGGAAUAAAUUUCCUAUUUGGUAUGACAUUGUCAUCAUCGUCAUUUUCAUCAUCUGAUUCUUUGUAUGGAGAGAUGUCAUAAGACUGCUCUUGACCUGUAAUGCCAAUUGAUCUCCAUUUCUUUGUCUAAAUCGCUCGGUACCUUAAAUCUCACAGGAAGUAUCAGCACAAGGCUUUACAGAGAAGGUAAAAGAGCACAAAAGUAUGCAGCUAUUCAUGCAUAAGAAAGCGUUCUACCAGUGGUUCAGAUUUGAGUUUACAAUAAGCUGAUAGGAGUUUUAACAUAAGAGAACUCUUGCACUUAGUCGAUUGUAGCCUUUUUUCCUAUAUUGUGGUAACGAUAGCCAAAAGGAAGGCCUCAAAAGAGUUAAAACCCAACAAGUUUAAAGGUCCCAUGCAAACUACAUCAACAGAGGAUUAUAAUUCAUGAUAUGCUCACAGUUUAUCACUCUGCUCCAGACUAUGCAAGUAAAAGCACUCAACAUGCAAGUAGAUCCUAACAUAUGGUGGGUAUCGAUUGUUAAAAAGUCACCACCAUUUACCUCUGCUUUAUACCCAUAAUUACUUGCCUCAUGGAACUCUUCGUGGACAAUACUUUCUCUUCCGGCGUUGCUUAUUGAAAUCCUGGAAGUACAAGGCUCAGUCUCCGAAAUAUUUCUGGAAUUGUCAAAUCCCCUUUCUGCCUCCAUUUUCUUAUUUGCCAUUUCAUCCUUAGAUUUCUUACCGCCAGGGCCUCUUCCAUCCUACACAAGAAAGCACAAUGUAGAAUGUGAUACCUAACAUUGCAAAAAGAAAAAGAUAUAAUGAAAUGAGGCAGAGCAUAAAGAAUCAUACAAUGGCCUGGCUUUUCAUUUCAUUCUCUACUUUUUCAGCAGGUAACUUGUAUUCAUGUUCUCUCUGCUGUCUACGGGCUUCAACACGCAUUCUUUUUCUUUCCGUCUCCUUCCUUUCUUCCCCUUCCCUUUGUCUCUUCUUUGAUCCCGUAUCAGCUUCUUUUUUCUUCCUCUCUUCUUUUUUUUUUUUUUUUUUUUUCUGCAGCUCCAACUGCUUCAUUUUCUCCUGCUCCAUUCUUGUCCUUUUCCUGGUUGGCAUCUCUCUUUUAGCAUAAGACACCCACAGAUGCGAAGCUGACUAAGUGAAGAAGGCAGACCCUCCUCUGGAAUGGAUGCUAGCUUUGGACAUCUAGAGAGUUGCAGAGAUUGAAGGGAGGUGAGGAAUUGAAAGCCCUUCCACAUCAAAGGCCAAGUUCCUGAGAUUGUCGAGCCAGAACAUAAGGAACCUAUUAGGGAACUUAAUAGGUUCCUUAUGUUUAUUCUCAUGAAAAGUGGGAACGACAAGGAAAUUCUGUGUUCAGAUGACCACUUAUGUCCGCGUCCGUACCAUGAUCAGCAUCUCGUCCUCAUUAAUAUCGUCCAUCAAGUAUUCAGUAAAACCCAACCAUCAAUUCCGACAGAUUCAUUCCUAUCACUGCCGUCUUGUCUUAAGUGGAUGUGGUCCUAAAAUUAGUUUUUCACCAUCAGUUUCUUUCUGAUGAUCAAUGACUGUUGCCUGCUACUCCUCCACCUCCAGUUUCCUGCUGCGGGGUUCCGAGGCCUCCAUUGGUGUAAGAAAUUUAUAUAUGUUCCAAGAGUUGCAAGCUUUAAUUUUUGGAAAAGAAGUAUAUGAUUCGUUGUUCAAUCUUUUGGUGUAUGAUCGUGAAUAAGCAAAUUGACCGAAAGAGGAAAAAUAAUGGCAAUAAAUUGCUAUAUAUCCAUAAUCUUACAACACCUCCAUACCAAAAUACAUACUUUUCUAGCCUUCUCUUAUCAUCCUUCAGGAGAAUGAGGCUAAAAGUAAAACUGAAACCAAUGCCGACCAAAGUGGCGGCGCCAAAGAAAAAUCAAGGCAGCAGGAGAUGCUGACCAAAUUACUCAAUAGCUCAUGCAAUUGCCCUUCUGCCAAUGGAACUUGUUACUCUUCUUAACUACAAUCACACUGCAAAUUAUCUGAGAUAAGUUACAACAGACUCCUAUAUAUAAAAAAUUAAAAAAUUAAAAAAAAAAGUUCUAGACGUUUCAGCUACAUUUCGGCUUGGAAGGGUGUUGCCUGCUCAAGAAACUGUUCACAAAUAGACUUUGAAAAUCUGCAACGAGAAAUAAAAACCAAUUACUACAAGUAUUUUGGUUUGAUAGGCAGUAACUAAAGGCAUUUUACAUUUCGCAGAAGGAAAAUUGCUCCUUUAACAACCAAACUGGCAGCGUAAAUGUAGUUUAGAGCAUGGAGAGGAAAAAUGAGAAUAAUCAAUAAAGGUAAACAUUACCUCUUCAUGAUCAAAAGCUCUUAUUACUGAGGAAUAUACUGAAUAGAGUUUAGCACAUUCCGCUGUUGUUUAAUUGAUGCUUUUCGGGCAAGAGGACUGCAAAUGAGCAUAUUGGAACUUAGUCCAGCAGUAUCUAAAAAUUGACCAGCCAAAAUGCCAAUGCAAUAGCUACGAAGAUCGGGACUUUAAACCAUAAAAGUACCUUCAGAGAUGCAGCAAAAGCUUUCUGGGGGGGGGGGGGGGGGGGCGAAUAUCGUCUUUGGAUCUGCUCUAUUCUGGCUAGAAACGGCAAAAGCCAGGCAGUUUUUACUGCACAAAACAAGAACCAAACAACAGAUAUUUUAUAGCGCAGCUGAGUUGACACUUUCAAAGGGUACACAAUCUAUGCCUUUCGCUAAAGAUACAUAUCACCAAGAUGAUUGUGACGCUCUUUAACUUGAAAAUCAUAUUUCAUAUAUAACAAUUGAAAAACAUACCUUAACCAUGAAGGAAUAAAUUUACUAUUUGGUAUGACAUUAUCGUCAUCGUCAUUUUCAUCAUCAGAUUCUUUGUAUGCAGAGAUGUCAUAAUACUGCACUUGACUUGUAAUGCCAAGUGAAUUCUCCAUUUCUCUGUCUAAAUUGCUAGGUACCUUAAAUAUCAGGAAGUAUCAGCGAGAGGCUUUACAGACAAGGUAAAAGUGCACAACAGCAUGCAGCUAUUCAUGAAUAAGAAACUUUCUAAAGGUGGUUCAGACUUGAGUUUACGAUAAGCUAUUAGGAGUUUUAAAAGAAGAGAACUCUUGCACUUAGGCGAGUGUAGCCCUAUUUCCUGGUAUAAAGAAGGCCUCAAAAUAGGUUCAACCCAACAAAUUUAGAGGUCGUAUGCAAACUUCAACAACAGAGGAUUAUAAUUCAUGCUAUGCUCACAGUUUAUCACUCUGCUCCUGCCUAUGCAAGUAAAAGCACUCAACAUAUGCAACUAGAUCCUAAGAUAUGGCGGGUAUCGAUUGUUAAAAAGUCAUUAGCAUUUACCUCUGCUUUAUAUCCAUAACUACUCGAGGCCUCAUGGAACUUUUCGUGGAUAAUAUUUUCUCUUCCGGCAUUGCUUAUUGAAAUCCUUGAAGUACUAGGCUCAGUCUCCAAACUAUUUCUGGAAUUGUCAAAUCCCCUUUCUUUGUCCAUUUUAAAUUUCUUACCGCCAGGGCUUCUUCCAUCCUAUACAAGAAAGCCCAAUAUAGAAUGUGAAAUCUAACAUUUUAAAAUAUAUAUGAAAUGAGGCAGAGCAUAAAGAAUCAUACAGUGGAGUGGUUUUUCAUUUCUUUCUCUAGUUUUUCAGCAGGUAACUUGUCUUCAUGUUCUCUCCGCUGUCUACGAGCUUCAACAUGCAUUCUUUUUCUUUCCUUCUCCUUCCUUUCUUCCUAUUCCCUUUGUCUCUUCUUUGAUGCCAUAUCAGCCUCUUUUUUCUUCCUCUCUUCUUCUUUCCUUUUUUCCGCAGCUCCAACUGCUUCAUAUUCUCCUGCUCCAUUCUUGACCGCUCAAGUUUCAGACCAUCCUCUAAUUGCUUGACAGCACCAUUCAUGGUCCUCAUAUCCACACCCUCUAGAAGCCCAGUUGGAAGAGACUGGUAGAGAUGUGGAAAAUUAUGCAACUUAUAUGGUCCUCAUAUCCACACCCUCUUGACCUUCCAAAAAACGCCUGACCAAUAUCAUAAAGUUUCUUUCUCGAGCAACUAUGACUAUCCUCACUCGUCAAAGCUAUUUCCCUUUCCAGCAAUGCUAGUUGGUUCAUCAUCUGUUUGCAAAACGAACCCGUCAAGCUCAGGCUUUUGUAUCACCAGAACCAAUCAAAUCCAAGGAUUGGCCAUGUGGAGAUCCAAAUGGUCCCUUCAAGAUCAAACGAUUUCAUGCAUUUUUUUUCCCACCUCACCAGAUUCCCAGUUUUUCCAGUCCUCUGCCCCCAGGCCAGGAAAUCAUAUUCAAAUUCAACAAAACUAUCCUGCUCACUCAACUCGAUCUGAGAUCCCAUGGGCUCCAAAUAAACUAGUGUUGCGAGGAACGCGAGAGAAGAAACCUUGGCCCAGAAAUAGAGAAUGGGAUCGAAUCAACUAUCAGCUUCAAAUCGGCUGUCAAUCUAUCUGUAUUUUAGGGAUGUGGGAUAUUUUGUGCCAGUAGCGUCCUUUUCCUGGUUGGCAUCUCUCUUUUAGCAUUGGACACUCAGAGAUGGUAAGUCGCUCUAGUGAAGGAGGCAGACCCUCCUCUGGAAUGGAUGCUAGCUUUGGACAAUUCCAGAGAUGCAGAGAUUGAAGGGAGGUGAGGAAUUGAAAGCCCUUACUGCUCAGUUUCUUCAGAUUCGGGAAGCCUUUUAUUGUGAGGUGAGUAAGAGAUUUGGGAAUGAGCGUCUCCAUCCGGACCAUGUCGGGUGGAAACGACACCGUAUCUAGGUCUUCACCUCCGAUCCACAAGUAUCUAAGAGAGGUGAGUCUGUGCAACCCCCACUCCAACUCCCACAAUGACUUACAGCUCUUUACCUUCCAAAUUUCAAGAAACGUGAGGUUGGGAGGAAAGGUCAAACCUUCACGGUACUCGAUCCUCAAUUCCUCAAGAGAGUUAAGAUUGUGCAUGUCUUCAGGCAACGCCUCCAAUUUCUCGCAACUGGUGAUCUGGAUCUCUCUCAGGUUGGAGGGUAGUCUCCCCCCACUCAGUCUUGGGAAAGAAACAAGACUUCCACAAUCUUGAAUAUAUAGCUUUCUCAGAUUGCUGAGGUGGCAUAAGCCAUCCGGUAAGGAUUUCAGAUUUUGGCACUUCCAGAGAUUAAUGUAUUCAAGACAAUAAUUAGUGUUGUCGUGGAAGAACCCGUCCUCUGCGAUUAGCUCCAGUUGUUCACAACCAAGUAUCUCAAGGUGUUUAAGUGUCCUGAGAAGCUGGCCACUCAAUGAUAACGACGUCAGAGAUUCACAUCCUUCGAUCUUCAAGUACUCAAGACAAAUAUGAGAAGAAGACGACCAAGAAGAACCAACAGCCUCCUCAUCCACUAGUGAUUUCAAACUUUUGCACUUUCUUAUCUCUAUUCUUUUGAGAUUUUGGGGAAUCUGGAAUUUUGCAAAAUAUAUCAACGAAUGGCACUCUCUAAUCUCGACGUUUUCAAGAGAAGGUGGCAGACCUACAUCUGGGAAAGAAACUAGACGUGAACAUUCGUGUAUGCGAAGCUCUUGAAGAGACGACAGCUGAUUUAAUCCUUUUGGUAGCUUCAAAAGAUUUUCGCACUUUUUUAACUUUAGAUAUUCAAGCCUGCCCUCCAAUAUUUGCAACUCCUCUGCUUCUUUUCCCAAUUCUUCAACUAGACGAUAGUUGUCUUCAAUUUCCAAACUAUUAAGAGAAGUCAACUGCUGCAAUAAUCUACCCUCAUUCUUCAAUGAAGACGUCACCUCCUCACAUCCAUUAAUCAUCAAAUCACUAACCUUGGUUAAUCCCUUCUUGAACAAUUCCCCUGUUUCCAGAUACAUCACCUCCGAAAUGUUUGAAAGCCACAAGGACUCUAAUAACUCAAACUCAACCUUACCAGCUGUAUGCACCAACACUUUACAACCGUCAAUGUUUAACUGACGAAGUUGUUUGUAGUUGGCAAUUGAAACCACUAAUUCUUCACAUUUAACAAUUUCAAGCUUCGCUAAAGAAUUGAGGUUCUCUGGCAGCUUACCCUCCAGUUUAGAACAUUUUGUUAUUGACAUCCUUUUCAGGCAAGGGAAAGCACCACUUUCGUGAUCCAGUAAGAAAGGAAGCCAUUCCUUCCAAUGCUGCAAUUCCACAAAAUCAAGAGUCUCUAAUACCCGAAAAGGCAAGUUACGCUCUCCAUAAAACUCAGCACCAACCCUUUCCACUGCAUUCAUUCCCCUAAUAUAAAGUUCUUUGAGUUGAGGCAAUUGUUCGAGAGGUGGCAACGACAAACAAUUGUUACAUUCCUCUAAGCGCACAAGCCCCAUAUUAGAGAACAAAUGACCUCCAACCCAUGAUGAAAAUUUCUUCCCGGCAUAACUCUUGAUGGUGAGCUCCUUGAUCUCUCUAUGAGGCUCUAACAUGUCAAGCACAGUAGAUUCCAUUUCUCUUGUGUCGCUUGAAUGUGACCAUUUUAGGACCAACGAAUCAAGCCUCACCUUGUAUUUUAAGUUGGCCCACUGAGCAUCCUCGACAUCAGUCACAUUCUCCAAUCUUGAGAUGCACAAUGUCCCUUGGAGAUGCGAUAGGGGCCCUAUCUCUCUUAUUCCUGAUUGAUCACUUCCAGCACUGACCACAAAAUUAGGCAAAGAUUGGAGAUUCACCAAUCUACCUAGUUUUGGAGGCAUUCCUUCCAACGAAGACACAUCUGAGUUGUUGAGAUGGCGUAAAUUAGCUAGAUUACUCAUGUCUGCAGGCAAUGACUUCAAAUCUGAACAGCCUUCCAAUAUCAAUGUCUGCAGGUUGUAAAGAGUACUUGUCGAUUUAGGCAAACUAGUUAUAGCUGUGUAGGAAAGGUCAAGAUACCGUAGAUAUCUCAAAUCACCAAUUGAGUUUGGCAGCUCAGUUAUUCUAUAGCCAUUAAAAGAGAGCACCCGCAAGUAUUGCAAUUUUGGCAAUAAAUCAAAGGUAACCUGACGACCUAAAU